UCAAACAAAUCAAAAGACGAGAAUACUUGUAGUGAAGUGACACAGUUUUAAGCAGUUCCAGGAACAGUCUGCUGAUCAAAGAGUGAAAUAAAGAGAGAAAUCAAAUACGGGAAAAUCAUUAAACGAUCUCAGAAUGUUUUAAAUCAACAUUAAAUCACUGAUAAAAGGUAAAAUAUAGUCAACACAUACCUGUGAUCUUGGAACAACCACUGCAUUCCAAUGGAGGAAAUGGAUACACAGGACUCCUAUGGUGGGAAUGACUGUUUUUAGUAAUUUUGUAAAUCACUAAUAAAAAAAACCCAAUAAAGCUGAAAGUGGAAAAAAAUCAAUCCUCUUUCCAGUGUAUUACAAAAUUAAUCCAUACAAAAUGCAGUGAUUACUGAUGAUAAAAAUGCAAGGUGACUGACACAUAUUAUUUAGAGUUGACUGGGAGUAGUUGUAUACUUCCAGAUAGCUGGAAUGACUCUGGACUAAAAGCAGAAUAGUACUAAGAAUAAGCAAUAUCCUCCAAAUUAUUUUGUGGAUAAGAUGAUGUACUUUUAUUGAGUUCAUCCACAGAACAUUAGAAGAAUUUGAAAAAAGAGUUGUAAAGUAAUUCUACCCUACCAAGAGAGACAAGUGACGAAAUACAAGAAUUGAUAUUGCAGACCAAUUGAAAAAGUGUAUGAUGGAACUCUGGUUGUGGGAACAUGUGGAAUUUUACCCAGAUUAUCUUAUAAUUUUAUAAGUUAGUAUUACAUCACUAAUAAAGAAAUUUGAAAAAGUG